CAGGAGGCAAACCGGGGGAACUGAAACAUCUAAGUACCCCGAGGAAGAGAAAUCAACCGAGAUUCCGAAAGUAGCGGCGAGCGAAAUUGGAUUAGCCCUUAAGCUUUUAAUGAGACAGAUGAAGGCUCUGGAAAGUGCCGCAAUAAAGGGUGAUAGCCCCGUAAUCGACAUCUCAUAAUCAGUGAAAACGAGUAGGGCGGGACACGUGAUAUCCUGUCUGAAUAUGGGGGGACCAUCCUCCAAGGCUAAAUACUACUGACUGACCGAUAGUGAACCAGUACCGUGAGGGAAAGGCGAAAAGAACCCCUGUGAGGGGAGUGAAAUAGAACCUGAAACCGUGUACGUACAAGCAGUAGGAGCACCUUCGUGGUGUGACUGCGUACCUUUUGUAUAAUGGGUCAGCGACUUAAUUUUAGUAGCAAGGUUAACCGUUUAGGGGAGCCGUAGGGAAACCGAGUCUUAACUGGGCGUACAGUUGCUAGGAUUAGACCCGAAACCAGGUGAUCUAGCCAUGGGCAGGUUGAAGGUUGAGUAACAUCAACUGGAGGACCGAACCGACUAAUGUUGAAAAAUUAGCGGAUGACUUGUGGCUAGGGGUGAAAGGCCAAUCAAACCUGGAGAUAGCUGGUUCUCCCCGAAAGCUAUUUAGGUAGCGCCUCGGACGAAUACUACUGGGGGUAGAGCACUGUUAAGGCUAGGGGGUCAUCCCGACUUACCAACCCUUUGCAAACUCCGAAUACCAGUAAGUACUAUCCGGGAGACACACGGCGGGUGCUAACGUCCGUCGUGGAGAGGGAAACAACCCAGACCGCCAGCUAAGGUCCCAAAGUAUAGCUAAGUGGGAAACGAUGUGGGAAGGCUCAGACAGCCAGGAUGUUGGCUUAGAAGCAGCCAUCAUUUAAAGAAAGCGUAAUAGCUCACUGGUCGAGUCGGCCUGCGCGGAAGAUGUAACGGGGCUAAGCUAUACACCGAAGCUGCGGCUACGUACCUUAGGGUAUGUGGGGUAGGGGAGCGUUCUGUAAGCCGUUGAAGGUGGUCUGUAAGGGCUGCUGGAGGUAUCAGAAGUGCGAAUGCUGACAUGAGUAACGAUAAAGGGAGUGAAAAACUCCCUCGCCGGAAGACCAAGGGUUCCUGUCCAACGUUAAUCGGGGCAGGGUAAGUCGACUCCUAAGGCGAGGCCGAAAGGCGUAGUCGAUGGGAAACG
rnacentral:rRNA from 1 species